CACGUAGGGCGCAAGCGUUGUCCGGAAUUAUUGGGCGUAAAGAGCUCGUAGGCGGUCUGUUGCGUCCGCUGUGAAAACCCAGGGCUUAACCCUGGGCUUGCAGUGGAUACGGGCAGACUAGAGGCAGGUAGGGGAGAAUGGAAUUCCCGGUGUAGCGGUGAAAUGCGCAGAUAUCGGGAGGAACACCGGUGGCGAAGGCGGUUCUCUGGGCCUGACCUGACGCUGAGGAGCGAAAGCGUGGGGAGCGAACAGG
rnacentral:rRNA from 1 species